rnacentral:rRNA from 1 species
UACGUAGGUGGCAAGCGUUGUCCGGAAUUAUUGGGCGUAAAGCGCGCGCAGGCGGUCUUCCAAGUCAGUGGUGAAAGCCCGGAGCUCAACUCCGGAACUGCCAUUGAAACUGUGAGACUUGAGUACGAGAGAGGUGAGUGGAAUUCCCAGUGUAGAGGUGAAAUUCGUAGAUAUUGGGAAGAACACCGGUGGCGAAGGCGGCUCACUGGCUCGUAACUGACGCUCAGGCGCGACAGCGUGGGGAUCAAACAGG